rnacentral:rRNA from 1 species
GGAGGAUGCGAGCGUUAUCCGGAUUUACUGGGUGUAAAGGGCGUGUAGGCGGGAUGGCAAGUCAGGCGUGAAAACUAUGGGCUCAACCCAUAGCCUGCGUUUGAAACUGUCGUUCUUGAGUGAUGGAGAGGCAAGCGGAAUUCCGUGUGUAGCGGUGAAAUGCGUAGAUAUACGGAGGAACACCAGUGGCGAAGGCGGCUUGCUGGACAUUAACUGACGCUGAGGCGCGAAAGCGUGGGGAGCAAA